AUGAUUCUUAUAAAAACUUGGCUCGUGCCAAAAACUUGCACUCGGUGACACAUUGGGUCGAGGCAUCCAACCGAGUCCGCCAAGGCUGUUAAAAUAACAUAUGAGUAUAAAACUCAUUUUUUUACAUUUAAAAGCACAGUCAUUCCUUGGCGUUGGCUGAGUUUCACCCUCACAUGGUGGUUCGACGUGAGGUGAACUCUAACGUUACCUUAGGAGAUACCCUUCGUGCCUCUCAUACUAAGGUAAAAUAUAACUGAGUUUACCGUGCCCCUUUAAUAGGUUGGUCCACGGAAACCCGCCCACUGCAGUAA
rnacentral:lncRNA from 1 species